rnacentral:lncRNA from 1 species
UGUGAUUUUUUUUUUUAGUUUACCACAUUACCAAAUGAACACAAUUGGAAAGAGUUUAAAGAAGACUGAUCAGAGUGAUUCCAGACCCGGAAGAAAUGUCAUACACAGGCAGGCAUGGUGUGCAGAUAUGGAGGAACAAAGCCUUCUUCACAAAAAGCAGAUCUAUUCAGAAGAAUCCACCCGCCCACCUUCAUGAUUAAAGAUCCACGGAUGUCAAAGAAAGAUCAUGGAGUGUUUCAUGGAUUUUGAUGACUUCGUUCGGGAUCCAUCCUACAAGUUGCCUACCAGAUUGCAAGAAGAACUUAUCAUUUCCUUCCUGCACAGCGUGUCUUGUCAUUGCAAAAUGCAGGCUGCAGUGGAUCAUGUCCCACAGUUCACUGGCCUGAAAAGUACAAAAGAAUGACAGAGGAAAGACAAAACCGC